rnacentral:rRNA from 1 species
CCCUUAGAUGUUCUGGGCUGCACGCGCGCUACACUGAUGCGCUCAACGAGUUUUAACCUUGCCUGGAAAGGUUGGGUAAUCUUUUUAAAACGCAUCGUGAUGGGGAUAGAUUAUUGCAAUUAUUAAUCUUCAACGAGGAAUUCCUAGUAAGCGCGAGUCAUCAGCUCGUGCUGAUUACGUCCCUGCCCUUUGUACACACCGCCCGUCGCUCCUACCGAUUGAAUGGUCCGGUGAAAUCUUCGGAUUGCUGACCAAGAUCCAGCAAUGGAGCUUGGUUGCGAGAAGUUGAUUAAACCUUAUUAUUUAGAGGAAGGAGAAGUCGUAACA